rnacentral:tRNA from 1 species
GGGGUUGUAGCUCAGUUGGGAGAGCGCUUGAAUGGCAUUCAAGAGGUCGUCGGUUCGAUCCCGUCCAGCUCCA